CCCCUGUGGGUUCGGCCUGCCGCCGCCUCGGGGGCCUCUGACACUGCGCGCCAGGCCAGGUUCCGGAAAGCAGUCUGCGCCGGCGGCCCUCGCGCGCCUGCCUGCCCACAGCAGAGGGCUAGCAAGUACGCCUUCCCCCGCCAACCUCGUAGCACUGGGGUGUGGGCUAGGACGGGGUUGGGGGCCGGUGGCGCUGAGCGCGGUACAGCGCAGGAACCGGGCGCAACGCUGCACGCAGGGACCCAGCCUUGGCGGUAGACGUCUCGUCGCCAUCGGGGCGCCUGGCAUGUCCUUGCGAGGAAGCUGGGGGGCUCGCCGGCGUUGUCUGCCCAGCGAUCGCAGCCUUCCCCAGCGGAGCCGCGCUCGCGGAAACGGGCGAGUCACCUUCCCUGCGCUGCGCUUCUGCCUGGCUCUCGCGGCCUGGGCUCCGCGCGCAGGCUGCCCAGCCGGCCUAGGGAAAGGAUUCUGACAGCAAACCAGGCUCUGCAGGGGAAGGACAGCAGUUACCAUGCCCUUGGAGAGGGGGCCAAGGGGCCUUGGAGCCUCAGGAAUGUGGCAGAUGGAGGCUCUCUCCCAACCCCUGAUCUCCACCCAGGCGGGAGAUAAAGAUGGAGCUCAGCAAGGUUACCGCAUGUCCUAGGUCACCCUGCAGAGCAAGGAUACCAACCCAGGUCUGACUGCAGGACCAGGGAUUUAAGCCCCAACCACAGGAUGAGAGAGACAGCAGUAGACAAGGCAGAGACCCUCUGCCUGCAGAUUUGGAAUCGUGGUCAGGAUUUGAACCCAAACUCCACCAUGUAGGGAUGUUACAUGAGCUGUUUGUGCCUUAGUUUCAUCUCUUUUGGGGGAGCGGUUGUUGGUGGGCUUAUUUUCCCCCAGCUUUAUUGAGAUAUAAUUGAAACAUAACAUUGUGUAAGUU